rnacentral:tRNA from 1 species
UGAAAGUUAGUUUAACGACAAAACGAGAGCUUGUGGCGCUUUAAAUGUGCGAGUAGUACACUUUUUA